CGCGCAGAGAGAGAGAGAGAGCCACGUCCCUGUUGCAAAAUAAGCCGUAGGCUUCUUCACUGUGAAGCAAACACAAGUUUUUGACAGAAGUGAAGAACACAUACACUCAAGAUCUCGAUGCAAUUCUCACACGAAUAAGGUACAAAGUUCAUCAACCUUUUGUCUUAAAACAGAUAGUAUUGACUUAGUUCCGUCUACUUAAGUAUCACACACAAAGUCUCUUGGCCAAAGAGAGAGUAUUAAGAUAUACAAACGCUCGCCCUUAUCAGCGGAAUAAUUACAUAUCUUAUUUUUUUUUUCUUCAUAAUUAUAUAUGUUUUGGAUUUUGAUUUCAACCGCCGAUUUAAGGUGGCUAAUUAAGUAGUGGGAGAGUCACCGGAAGAUUGUCGGAGAUUUGUCCAGCAGGUGACAUCUCCAUCUCAGCUUCUGCUCCCACAUGAUGAUUAUUCUCCAUCUGUACGAUAAUCAUAGGUCAAAAUCACUAUUCACUUUCUCUUUUUGUCUUCUAUCCAAGGAAUAUCUUUUUCACACCACCAAAUAACAACCAUUAAAAAACACUACAGAAGGUUAUGUUUCUCAUAAUUUGUGUGUUCUUUAUGUUUAAGCUUUUAAGUUUGGAAGCAGUA
rnacentral:lncRNA from 1 species